CGGAACGCCUGUCUGGGGUUGAUCGGGUGGAUG
rnacentral:misc_RNA from 1 species